GAUGGAGCACUCUCAACGUUUUUAACGUUGUUUUUAAAUUUCUAUUUCAUUUAUUCAUAAAUGGUAGAUAUCAGUGGUUUGUAUGAGAAUUUUGUCGUGUCAUGUACGGACACGAAGGGGAGCGACAAACGGAGGCUCCACGAAGAAACAGGUAACAGGUAAACCUCAGUGGCUGCUGCUGAACGUUACACAGGGAGGUGUGACACUGAAUGUAUAUUUUAGUCUUUUUCGGUGCAAGAAGUUCCAGUUAGAAAGGGAAGGAAAGGUAAAAAAUAAUAAAUAUCUGAGGACUUCAUCUACGGGGGCCAAAGACUGAUAACAUCCGGUCAGCCCCCCGGCCGAAAGUUAUCCUCCGACUGCCUGCCAAGCUACCGCAGGUCAAGGGAAGGGUGCGACUUAAUCAAAGGGACUAAUGCCCAAGUCACAUGUCACUUUGUGUCACGCCUAUUAGAACAAUAUGUGUAAGGUAAAAACCCUACAAUAACAGAGAGUGACUACAUGCACUCUGAGAUGCUAAUCUUUCACAACCCCAACAGGAGGAUUCGAGAGAAGUCUGAUCAAAGCUGGUGAGGCUGAACGACACAGGCUAGUCAACAGGACAGAUAACUGAUUUUCCUAGAACAGGUCCCGUGUAUUUUCAAAAAGCAAAUGUGGCACAAAAGUGCCAAAAAGCACAAAAUAUCUGAGGACCAAAUUGGAGUCGCUGGGCGGGGCUACCACAGGAAAUUCACCACUGAUUGGCAAAUGCAGUUACUAUGUAACAAAAUGUGGGCUAGUUCUGAAGACGCACACUGGCACUGUGUUGCUGGAAAUGAGAUACAUGUGAGUGACUGUAGUCGGUCAGAACCAAAUAUUUUCUGUCUUCAGGUUGUUUGUAAAAGAAAUGCGCUUUCUCACUUCAAUGCAACUUUAUCCCCAUAAAUAUCUCAAAGCCCCGUUCAGACUGCUUGAUGGCCCCGACAGAGGUUUGUCGAAAUAGCUUCAGAAACUGUUGUAUAAAUUAUAAUGUACGAACCACAAGUUAUCUCAGUAGCAGAUAAGGUGAGCAGCAGCCAUCUUGGUUAUUUACAAAAGAUCCACAGCAGGGCUCCUCGGUGUAUUUACAUCAAACCUGCCCUGUAUUAGAUGAAUGUUUGUGAUUGGCCUGACACAAACAGGGCUGCGUGGAAAUGUGAAGACGGAUGCAUUCUGCACGAGCUAAGGAAACACAAGCUCUUAUUCAUUUGGUUCCCAGGCUAUAUUUAUUACCCCCCCCCCCCCCUUUAAAAAAAAUAAACAGUAUAAGAUAUUGUUUUUGGUUGUGUGAGAAUUUUUGUACAGAAAUAAGUUUCCUGCCAAAAAAAAUUGUGUUUGGUUUCUCAGAUUGGCUCAAGUUCAGCUCGCCAAAAGCCGGAAGCGAUUUAAUAAGGGACACGCUAAAUGGGAGUGGUGAGUGAUUGGAUCUGUUAUGGCAGUGCCAUUUAGAAAAAACCUCUCCUAGCUGCAGCCAUGUUGGUAAUAUCAGAUAUAAAAAUAAAUAAAUAAAAACUCCCUUAAAUGCGUGGUGACUUUUCUUUCCCCUGAAAGUUUUACUUCUAUCUUUGCUGUUGUGAAAUCCUCCUGUGAAUUCAGGCUGCCCUGUCUGCUCUUAUGUCUCUUUUAAGCCUUUUGUGGAUCCAGAUGUUCUGUUUAUUUAGGAAUCCACCAACAAAGCUGACCAAACUGUUUAUUUAGCAGUUAAAAAAGGCCAUGCUAUGUGUGAAAUAUGUAUAACUUUGUCUUUGUGUCUCUUGCUAAAUGUUCGUGAUUGUUAUUUAAACACCCCCUCUCCUCUUCCUCUGUUCACCACAGGGCAGACAGACAACCACACACUUUCACAACUUACUUAAAGACUAAUUUAUUAUUUUGUUUUGGGGGUUUUUUUCAUUUCCAAUAGCCA
ensembl:lncRNA